rnacentral:rRNA from 1 species
GUAAUAAUCCUGUAGUCGAAAAUGUUGUCUCUCUUGAGUGGAUCCUGAGUACGACGGAGCACGUGAAAUUCCGUCGGAAUCUGGGAGGACCAUCUCCUAAGGCUAAAUACUCUCUAGUGACCGAUAGUGAACCAGUACCGUGAGGGAAAGGUGAAAAGCACCCCGGAAGGGGAGUGAAAUAGAACCUGAAACCGUGUGCUUACAAGUAGUCAGAGCCCGUUAAUGGGUGAUGGCGUGCCUUUUGUAGAAUGAACCGGCGAGUUACGAUUUGAUGCAAGGUUAAGCAGUAAAUGUGGAGCCGUAGCGAAAGCGAGUCUGAAUAGGGCGUUUAGUAUUUGGUCGUAGACCCGAAACCAGGUGAUCUACCCUUGGUCAGGUUGAAGUUCAGGUAACACUGAAUGGAGGACCGAACCGACUUACGUUGAAAAGUGAGCGGAUGAACUGAGGGUAGCGGAGAAAUUCCAAUCGAACCUGGAGAUAGCUGGUUCUCUCCGAAAUAGCUUUAGGGCUAGCCUCAAGUGAUGAUUAUUGGAGGUAGAGCACUGUUUGGACGAGGGGCCCCUCUCGGGUUACCGAAUUCAGACAAACUCCGAAUGCCAAUUAAUUUAACUUGGGAGUCAGAACAUGGGUGAUAAGGUCCGUGUUCGAAAGGGAAACAGCCCAGACCACCAGCUAAGGUCCCAAAAUAUAUGUUAAGUGGAAAAGGAUGUGGCGUUGCCCAGACAACUAGGAUGUUGGCUUAGAAGCAGCCAUCAUUUAAAGAGUGCGUAAUAGCUCACUAGUCGAGUGACACUGCGCCGAAAAUGUACCGGGGCUAAACAUAUUACCGAAGCUGUGGAUUGUCCUUUGGACAAUG